rnacentral:rRNA from 1 species
AGAAUCAACGCUGGCGGCGUGCCUAACACAUGCAAGUCGAACGCGAAAGUCCCGCAAGGGAUGAGUAGAGUGGCAAACGGGUGAGUAACACGUGGGUGACCUGCCUUCGAGCGGGGGAUAACGUCCCGAAAGGGACGCUAAUACCGCAUGACAUCCUGCCUUUGAAGAGGUGGAGAUCAAAGUUGGGGAUCGCAAGACCUAGCACUCGAAGAGGGGCCCGCGCCUGAUUAGCUAGUUGGUGGGGUAACGCUCACCAAGGCGACGAUCAGUA